GGAAGCUGCUCCGUAUCUGUCGGUGGAAUUCACGUGCAAACGGAACGCGUUCGGCGAUAAAUUUCAUAAAUAAGUUUCACUAUAAAACACAACCAAAAUAGAAAUAUACAACAGUGAAUCGUGUGCAAUCGUGAGUGGUUUAGUUGAGCAAAUUAGUAAAUCGUGCACAAAGAGAGAAAAAAAAGUUCAAACAUAAUAGUGCAACGUCUCGAUCGAGUGCAAGGCCAGCGGAUAAGUGUCGGUUCGGUUCGUGUCCCGUAAUGGCAGCAGUCACAAAGUGCAAUCAACUGCAUUAGCCACAUAUGUUACGCAACGGACGAUAACUUUUUACGCCAGUAGAUAACAAAAAAAAGAAACGGAAAAAACCAAAACGAAUCUAUCUUGCAACUGACACAAUCGUAAUUUGACGUUCGAGUCCCGGGGUUUCCUCCGGGUUCGGAAGCCAAGUCCGUCCCAAGCGCCGUGGGGCGUCCCGGGUCGGCAAGCGAAGGCGAAAAAUGCAUCGGAAGAGUUCACAAUCAGACCGUCGUACGGUGGUGUGCUGUUGCCAGCCGUGAAGCUUAUCCAGGCGAUGGAAAACUUCCACCCCGGGGCGGGUGGAAUGAUACACCGGAAAUAGAACAUGAGUCACCCGGUUGCGGUUGCAGUCACGGAUACGGGACCAGGGAGGAUCCAACUAACAGUGCACAGGGCUGGAGUGAUACGUGGAGCAGUUUUCAAAAAACUCGAGUUUUAAAAUGCGCGCCAAGAAUUCCAAU